CCUACGGGAGGCAGCAGUGGGGAAUAUUGGACAAUGGGCGAAAGCCUGAUCCAGCCAUGCCGCGUGUGUGAGGAAGGCCUUCGGGUUGUAAAGCACUUUCAGUGGGGAAGAAAGCCUUGGGGCUAAUACCCUCGAGGAAGGACAUCACCCACAGAAGAAGCACCGGCUAACUCCGUGCCAGCAGCCGCGGUAAUACGGAGGGUGCGAGCGUUAAUCGGAAUUACUGGGCGUAAAGCGCGCGUAGGCGGUCUGAUAAGCCGGUUGUGAAAGCCCCGGGCUCAACCUGGGAACGGCAUCCGGAACUGUCAGGCUAGAGUGCAGGAGAGGAAGGUAGAAUUCCCGGUGUAGCGGUGAAAUGCGUAGAGAUCGGGAGGAAUACCAGUGGCGAAGGCGGCCUUCUGGACUGACACUGACGCUGAGGUGCGAAAGCGUGGGUAGCAAACAGGAUUAGAUACCCCUGUAGUC
rnacentral:rRNA from 1 species